rnacentral:rRNA from 1 species
GAAACAUCUUAGUACCCGGAGGAAGAGAAAGAAAAUUCGAUUCCCUUAGUAGCGGCGAGCGAAACGGGAAGAGCCCAAACCAACAAGCUUGCUUGUUGGGGUUGUAGGACACUCUAUACGGAGUUACAAAGGACGACAUUAGACGAAUCAUCUGGAAAGAUGAAUCAAAGAAGGUAAUAAUCCUGUAGUCGAAAAUGUUGUCUCUCUUGAGUGGAUCCUGAGUACGACGGAGCACGUGAAAUUCCGUCGGAAUCUGGGAGGACCAUCUCCUAAGGCUAAAUACUCUCUAGUGACCGAUAGUGAACCAGUACCGUGAGGGAAAGGUGAAAAGCACCCCGGAAGGGGAGUGAAAUAGAACCUGAAACCGUGUGCUUACAAGUAGUCAGAGCCCGUUAAUGGGUGAUGGCGUGCCUUUUGUAGAAUGAACCGGCGAGUUACGAUUUGAUGCAAGGUUAAGCAGUAAAUGUGGAGCCGUAGCGAAAGCGAGUCUGAAUAGGGCGUUUAGUAUUUGGUCGUAGACCCGAAACCAGGUGAUCUACCCUUGGUCAGGUUGAAGUUCAGGUAACACUGAAUGGAGGACCGAACCGACUUACGUUGAAAAGUGAGCGGAUGAACUGAGGGUAGCGGAGAAAUUCCAAUCGAACCUGGAGAUAGCUGGUUCUCUCCGAAAUAGCUUUAGGGCUAGCCUCAAGUGAUGAUUAUUGGAGGUAGAGCACUGUUUGGACGAGGGGCCCCUCUCGGGUUACCGAAUUCAGACAAACUCCGAAUGCCAAUUAAUUUAACUUGGGAGUCAGAACAUGGGUGAUAAGGUCCGUGUUCGAAAGGGAAACAGCCCAGACCACCAGCUAAGGUCCCAAAAUAUAUGUUAAGUGGAAAAGGAUGUGGCGUUGCCCAGACAACUAGGAUGUUGGCUUAGAAGCAGCCAUCAUUUAAAGAGUGCGUAAUAGCUCACUAGUCGAGUGACACUGCGCCGAAAAUGUACCGGGGCUAAACAUAUUACCGAAGCUGUGGAUUGUCCUUUGGACAAUGGUAGGAGAGCGUUCUAAGGGCGUUGAAGCAUGAUCGUAAGGACAUGUGGAGCGCUUAGAAGUGAGAAUGCCGGUGUGAGUAGCGAAAGACGGGUGAGAAUCCCGUCCACCGAUUGACUAAGGUUUCCAGAGGAAGGCUCGUCCGCUCUGGGUUAGUCGGGUCCUAAGCUGAGGCCGACAGGCGUAGGCGAUGGAUAACAGGUUGAUAUUCCUGUACCACCUAUAAUCGUUUUAAUCGAUGGGGGGACGCAGUAGGAUAGGCGAAGCGUGCGAUUGGAUUGCACGUCUAAGCAGUAAGGCUGAGUAUUAGGCAAAUCCGGUACUCGUUAAGGCUGAGCUGUGAUGGGGAGAAGACAUUGUGUCUUCGAGUCGUUGAUUUCACACUGCCGAGAAAAGCCUCUAGAUAGAAAAUAGGUGCCCGUACCGCAAACCGACACAGGUAGUCAAGAUGAGAAUUCUAAGGUGAGCGAGCGAACUCUCGUUAAGGAACUCGGCAAAAUGACCCCGUAACUUCGGGAGAAGGGGUGCUCUUUAGGGUUAACGCCCAGAAGAGCCGCAGUGAAUAGGCCCAAGCGACUGUUUAUCAAAAACACAGGUCUCUGCUAAACCGUAAGGUGAUGUAUAGGGGCUGACGCCUGCCCGGUGCUGGAAGGUUAAGAGGAGUGGUUAGCUUCUGCGAAGCUACGAAUCGAAGCCCCAGUAAACGGCGGCCGUAACUAUAACGGUCCUAAGGUAGCGAAAUUCCUUGUCGGGUAAGUUCCGACCCGCACGAAAGGCGUAACGAUUUGGGCACUGUCUCAACGAGAGACUCGGUGAAAUCAUAGUACCUGUGAAGAUGCAGGUUACCCGCGACAGGACGGAAAGACCCCGUGGAGCUUUACUGUAGCCUGAUAUUGAAAUUCGGCACAGCUUGUACAGGAUAGGUAGGAGCCUUUGAAACGUGAGCGCUAGCUUACGUGGAGGCGCUGGUGGGAUACUACCCUAGCUGUGUUGGCUUUCUAACCCGCACCACUUAUCGUGGUGGGAGACAGUGUCAGGCGGGCAGUUUGACUGGGGCGGUCGCCUCCUAAAAGGUAACGGAGGCGCUCAAAGGUUCCCUCAGAAUGGUUGGAAAUCAUUCAUAGAGUGUAAAGGCAUAAGGGAGCUUGACUGCGAGACCUACAAGUCGAGCAGGGUCGAAAGACGGACUUAGUGAUCCGGUGGUUCCGCAUGGAAGGGCCAUCGCUCAACGGAUAAAAGCUACCCCGGGGAUAACAGGCUUAUCUCCCCCAAGAGUUCACAUCGACGGGGAGGUUUGGCACCUCGAUGUCGGCUCAUCGCAUCCUGGGGCUGUAGUCGGUCCCAAGGGUUGGGCUGUUCGCCCAUUAAAGCGGUACGCGAGCUGGGUUCAGAACGUCGUGAGACAGUUCGGUCCCUAUCCGUCGUGGGCGUAGGAAAUUUGAGAGGAGCUGUCCUUAGUACGAGAGGACCGGGAUGGACAUACCUCUGGUGUACCAGUUGUCGUGCCAACGGCAUAGCUGGGUAGCUAUGUGUGGACGGGAUAAGUGCUGAAAGCAUCUAAGCAUGAAGCCCCCCUCAAGAUGAGAUUUCCCAACUUCGGUUAUAAGAUCCCUCAAAGAUGAUGAGGUUAAUAGGUUCGAGGUGGAAGCAUGGUGACAUGUGGAGCUGACGAAUACUAA